CUCAUUUUCUCUCCCGCACAUCUCGAGAGAGAGCCGCCGCCGCCAAUCAUCCUCCCCGUCCGCCGCCGCCGCCAACCAUCCGCAGCCGCACCAUCAUCCCCUCCCCGUUCCUCUCCCGUGGCUGAGCCAGCCAUGGCAAGGAAGAAGCGCAAGUCCUCUUCCUUCCUCCCUCACCCCCGAUAUGAAUCCUCCCCUGGAACCCUAGCCAGCCGCACGCAUCCCAUAUGGUGCCGCCCAGCUCGCCGCCCUCAGCCGCCGAGCCAUCGCGGGGCUCCUCGCGCAAGCGCACGACCUCCUCCAAGGCCGCGCCCGAGACCGACCUGGAGUUCACGGUCACCAAGGAAAGUUAAGGGGAGGGGAGGGGAGGGGAGGCAGCGCCCAGAUCCACAGGUCCGCGACCGUCCUCGAGGUCGGCCAUGGAGGUCCGGUCCGGCCCGACAUCAGCCAUGGAAGGAGACACCCGAAUCCGUAGCUCUCCAAGGACGCGCUAGCUGCAGGCCAUCUCCGGCGAGAUCAUCCACGGAUCUCCAACUAUGUUGCUCCGAUCUGGAAGAGGUGGUGGAGUUGUUGUUGUUGCUGCUGCAGGUGGACGAGGCACGAGCCCUCAUGGCUCCUCCCUCCUCCUCCCCCUGUGACGUGAAGGCAUGACACCGCCAUCAUGCGUCAGGUUUAGGUAGAAGGCACGUCACCGCCACGCUCUCCUCCACUACAACGCCACGCACCCGGUUACUCCGAUGAGGACAAGCUGCUUCUGCAGGUGGAAUGGCCCUCAUGGCUGCUCUACCUAUUCCUUUUGCUACCCCCACACGUGUUCCGAUCUCCUUUUUUCUGUGGCUCCAUAUAGCGAACAUCAAAGCCGUCGAUGCAUUGAGGGCUCAAUGUCGUGUCCGCCGGCUAAGCGGCAAGCCGGGGUUGGGCCUGCACACUGCCUAUCAGCACCCACCGUCUCCAUUCACGGAUCUGCAGGUAUGCAUGGUAAUGUUAAAGAGGCCCCUUAUGCUCCUGCAGAUUUGUGGGUGAUUCCCUGUUGGGUUUUCCUGUGGUAGAUUCUCUGUUGAUGAAGACUGUGGUGCAAUACUUCCUGGAGACAUAUGGUUUCAAUAAUCAGCACACUACAUGAACCAGUUCCUUCACGGCUGCCUCCCAGCCAAAUCCGGCCGCUACCAACCAGCACGUGCUCGCCUUGGUCUCCUCUUUCUCCCUGAAAAAGUCUACCAGGUUCAAGGGCAGAGCCAUAGAUUUAGCCUCUAAAAAUAGGCUCUGAACGAAUUUAACCAUGAUGUGCACGCAAGGGCAGUGAUGCCUUUUACUACUUGAGAGGCCCAACAAGGUAUUUUUACUUUUCUGCUACCAAAGGAAACAAUGAAAAAAAUAUGCUGCUCCAGUGCCCUGUAGUUUGUUCCUGUAAAAUUUUACAAAUAUGAUGAAGAAUACGUUGCAUCAUUUGCAGUACCUGGCUACCAAGAAGGAGCGACAUUGUUGUUAAACUUUUCUCUAUGAGCUAUAUAGUAUAUACUGUCUUUUGACUAUGCGCUUCUCUUAGUGCUGCCUGAACAUCUGUAUCUUUGCCCUGUGUUAUAUGAGCUUAUGAUAGACACACUCUUUGAAAGCACGACCAGCAGCCAAGGACAUCUCACGCCAUGCUCUAUCUCAUCUUAGUCCUCACUAAUUCACAAACGGGAUGAAGAGGACACACUAGCUGUCAGGCGGGUUUAGCGCUACUUCCACCAUCACACCAUCUUCCAUUACUAGGGACCGCGAUGUCUCUGCGUAGCCGUCGAUGGCAUCCAUUUGCCUAUUGUCUCCGAGGGCGAACCCCGGUGUCUAUUGUUCACACCCAACAUGAGGAUGCAGUACUAAAAGCAGAGAAUAACAAGUUAAACAAUAACAGACCAUGCUUCUGAAACUCUCAAUGAAAAUACUGUACCAGUUUAAACUUUCAAUGAAAAUACUGUACCAUUUAUAGAGUUUUCAUAUUUAUCAGUAGGAUGAUGAAGCCUGUCAAGUAUUAUCCAAUACUAAUUAGCUUUGCCUCAGAACUUGGAAAGAGAAAGUAGAGUUAUCAAUAAUGAU